rnacentral:rRNA from 1 species
GACGAACGCUGGCGGCGUGCUUAACACAUGCAAGUCGAACGGAAAGGCCCCUUCGGGGGUACUCGAGUGGCGAACAGGUGAGUAACACGUGAGUAACCUGCCCUUGGCUUCGGGAUAACUUCAGGAAACUGGGGCUAAUACCGGAUAGGAAUCCUUGCUGCAUGGUGGGGGUUGGAAAGCUUCGGCGGUUUUGGAUGGACUCGCGGCUUAUCAGCUUGUUGGUGGGGUAGUGGCUUACCAAGGCUUUGACGGGUAGCCGGCCUGAGAGGGCGACCGGCCACAUUGGGACUGAGAUACGGCCCAGACUCCUACGGGAGGCAGCAGUGGGGAAUAUUGCACAAUGGGCGGAAGCCUGAUGCAGCAACGCCGCGUGCGGGAUGACGGCCUUCGGGUUGUAAACCGCUUUCAGCAGGGGCGAAGCUUGUGGUGACGGUACCUGCAGAAGAAGCACCGGCUAACUACGUG